GAAGUAAAAGUCGUAACAAGGUUUCCGUAGGUGAACNUGCGGAAGGAU
rnacentral:misc_RNA from 1 species